rnacentral:rRNA from 1 species
AUACGAGGGGUGUAAGCGUUAUUCGGAAUUACUGGGCGUAAAGGGUGCGUAGACGGCGCAUUAAGUCUGUUGUUAAAUUUUUCGGCCUAACCGAAAAGCUGCGACGGAAACUGAUGUGCUAGGGAAUGAGAGAGAGAAGUGGAAUUCCCGGAGUAGCGGUAAAAUGCGUGGAUCUCGGGAGGAACACCAAUGGCGAAGGCAGCUUCUUGGCUCAUUUCUGACGUUGAGGCACGAAAGCGUGGGGAGCAAACAGGAUUAGAAACCCCGGUAGUCC